rnacentral:rRNA from 1 species
CGGCGGACGGGUGAGUAACGCGUGGGUAACCUGCCCUAAAGCCCGGGAUAACACCGGGAAACUGGUGCUAACACCGGAUACCUUCCGAAGAGGGCAUCCUUUUUGGAAGAAAGGUUAACACUUUAGGAUGGGCCCGCGUCCCAUUAGCUAGUUGGUGAGGUAACGGCUCACCAAGGCAGUGAUGGGUAGCCGGCCUGAGAGGGUGGACGGCCACACUGGGACUGAGACACGGCCCAGACUCCUACGGGAGGCAGCAGUAGGGAAUAUUGCGCAAUGGGCGAAAGCCUGACGCAGCGACGCCGCGUGGGUGAUGAAGGCCUUCGGGUUGUAAAACCCUGUCCUUGGGGAAGAAGAAAGUGACGGUACCCAAGGAGGAAGCCCCGGCUAACUACGUGCCAGCAGCCGCGGUAAAACGUAGGGGGCGAGCGUUGUCCGGAAUUACUGGGUGUA